rnacentral:rRNA from 1 species
UACAGAGGGGGCAAGCGUUAUUCGGAAUUAUUGGGCGUAAAGGGCGCGUAGGCGGCCUGGCAAGUGGAAGGUGAAAUCCCUCGGCUUAACCGAGGAACUGCCCUCCAAACUGCUUGGCUUGAGUCCGGGAGAGGUGAGUGGAAUUCCCAGUGUAGCGGUGAAAUGCGUAGAUAUUGGGAGGAACACCAGUGGCGAAGGCGGCUCACUGGACCGGAACUGACGCUGAGGCGCGAAAGCCAGGGGAGCGAACGGG